AGUUAUUCUUCGGCACUAAUAAGCGGAGUAAUUUUUUUUACAUCUCAUAAUAUAAGCCGUCGCAGUACUACGAACGCAUGUUUAAAAUUGAAAGAACUUGGCGGCCGUUCAACCUACCAGGGGAACAUGUGCCUUAAAACGAUGGUCCACGCUUUACCUUACCCUGUCUUGUAAACAAAGAAGCAAUAAAGUUUUGCUUCUAUUUCCAACUUAUAAAGUGGGGGGGUCAGCCGCUAUACCGCCGUUGUCACUUCCCAGUCUGAGCGGCUUAAAGGGGGGGAUUAUUUUGGUACUUGGUUCCUUAAAGGAUAUUUAAGGUUAAAUAGGGUGAGGGGCAGUGAAAAAAAAUUUUCUUGUCUUUACAUUUCCCAAAGCAUUAAGUUUGUACCAUGAAGACAGGUUAAGGUAGCGCCUAUGACAGGGGGAGUAUGUGUUACAAGCUUUAUUUUAGAGAGGAGACUUUAAACGGAUUCUUUGAGGAAGAUUGGUCUUAGAUGAAGGUGAACUUGGCAGUAAGGGGGGAGUAAGGAGCCCACCUGAAGAGUGCUCUGAUCGUGUGUUCAAAUCGCCCGUCGCUCCCUUCGAAAGAGGGGAU
rnacentral:rRNA from 1 species